rnacentral:rRNA from 1 species
AACGCGAAGAACCUUACCUGGGCUCGAACGGCUUCGGACAAUCCUUGGAAACAGGGACUUCCCGCAAGGGACUGGAGUCGAGGUGCUGCAUGGCUGUCGUCAGCUCGUGUCGUGAGAUGUUGGGUUAAGUCCCGCAACGAGCGCAACCCUCGUCCUGUGUUGCUAUCCCGCAAGGGAGCACUCGCAGGAGACCGCCAGCGAUAAGCUGGAGGAAGGUGGGGAUGACGUCAAGUCCUCAUGGCCUUUAUGUCCAGGGCUACACACGUGCUACAAUGGCCGGUACAAAGCGUUCCCAAGCCGCGAGGUGGAGGCAAUCGCAAAAAACCGGUCUCAGUUCGGAUUGCAGGCUGCAACUCGCCUGCAUGAAGCUGGAAUCGCUAGUAAUGGCAGAUCAGCACGCUGCCGUGAAUACGUUCCCGGGCCUUGUACACACCGCAUAC